GGAAAAACUUCAGGUCUGGUCAACCUGACUCUAGGUCAUUUCCAUGUGGCUGUUAUUGAACAGCAGAGGCUCCAGUGAAUGAAACCAUUUUGUCACCAAAUUUUUCACAUGAGUGGUUUCUCUGGGCUGCCUCCAUAUUCUCAACUUGUUGAAGCUCACUCCUUUUAUACAACUACAAGGGCUUUAAAGGUCACUGAGUACUUCUGGACUGACAUUUUCGUCAUUCUCCUACUUCACCUUUCUGCUGAAUUUGACACUGCCCCUGUGACAGUUGUGCUGUUAGGUGGAGAGGAGGAGGAAGAAGACAAGCAGGUGAAAUAAUGAGGAAGACAGGAGAAACAAUAGGGAAGGAGGCUGCAGUUCCACCAUGCCCAGCCCAGAGGAAGGGAGUUCUGGGCCACCAUUCCACUGCUCCCAGCCCAGAGGAAGGGGCUUCCAGGCCGCCAUUCCACCAGUCCAAGACAAGAGGUAGUGGCUUCCAGGGCACCAUUCCACCACUCCCAGCACAGAGGAAGGGGCUUCCAGGUUGCUGUUCCACCUCUCCCAGCUCAGAGGAGGUGAGUCGCACAGGCACCAACAGCACCACACCCCCAAUGAAAUGAGAAGACACAUAAACAAGUCUCAAAACCCAACUUCCAGAUCACCUACAGCAACCCCAAAGGGAAAUGAGAUGGAACACUCUGAUACUCAACCACCUGGACUCCCUGAACUUGCAACAAAAGAGGAUCUGGAAAAAAUGAAAUGAGAAAUAAUUUCUCAAGUGACAGCAGAAAUUGUGCUAGUAGUGCAAGACAUGAUGAAUAAAUCUAGAGAGGAUCUAAGGAACGUGAUGGAAUUUCAACAUAGGAAACAAAUGGAAUCCACAAAGCAGAUGCAAACAGAUUUCCAGGAGAUGAAAAACUCCAUUGAAAGCCUACACAGCAGAAUGAGCCAAUAUGAGGACAGAAUUUCAGAUAUAGAAGAUAAGAUUGCAACUAGUGACCAGGAAAGGAAAAUUGCUUCAAAAUUCUAAGGGACCAUGAGAAAGCAAUCCAGCAGAUGAUAGAAGAUGCAAAGAAGAAUAACAUAAGACUUAUUGGAGUCGAUGAAGAAACAGGAGAGAGUGCAGAUGACAUAAAAAAUCUCUUCACAGGAGUAAUGGCAGAAAAUUUCCCAAGCAGGGGAAAAGAACUUGACAUACAGAUAAGUGAGGCAUAUAGGACUCCAAAUAGCCUUGAUCAAAAAAAAAAUCUACACAUAGGCAUAUAAUUGUUAAGAUUCCAGAAACCCAACAGAAGAACAAAGUUCUACAAGCAGUUAGAGAAAAGAAAAAAAUCGCAUACAAAGGAAAGCCCAUUAGAAUCACAGCAGACUUCUCAACGCAAAUCAUCAAAGCAAGAAGAGCUUGGAGUGUCAUAUUCCAAGCCCUGAAGGAAAGCAGCCUCCAACCCAGAUUGAUGUACCCUACAAAGCUAUCUUUCAAAAUUAAUGGAGAAAUAAGAUACUUUCAUGACAAAGAGCAUCUUAGGAACUUCAUGAAUACCAAACCAACACUCCAAAAAUAUUAGACAAUAUCCUAGGAGCAGACAUUGAGGAUCACAACCCAAGAAAGCACAGCAGAAUGAACUCAUCAGGCAUGACGAGAAACUAAAUGUAAAGGGGGAGAAUCCAACAAAAAGAAAAAGUCAUGACAAUGACAAGUCAACAUGUAUCAGUAGUAACCAUCAAUGUUAAUGGUCUCGAUUCACCAAUCAAAAGAAAUAGACUGGCAGAAUGGGUCAAGAAGCAGAAUCCAAUAUGCUGCAUACAAGAAACACACUGAAUUCAAAAGAAAACUCACACACUGAAAGUUAAAGGGUGGAAAACAAUACUCCAUGAAAUGGGAGGCCCCACAAAAGCAGGAGUAGCUAUCCUCUUGGUAGAUCAAGUAGAUUUCAAACCAAUACUGAUUAAGAGAGACAAAGAAGGACACCACAUACUUAUAAAGGGAACAAUCCAACAGGAAAAGAUGAUAAUCAUAAAUAUGUAUGCACCAAAUACUAGUGCACCCAACUAUAUAAAACAAAUACUAAUGGACAUGAAAAGUCAUAUAUGCACUAAUACAAUAGUAGUGGAGAACCUCAAUACCCCACUGUCACAAAUAGAUAGAUCAAUUAGACAAAAAAUAAGUAAUGAAAUACUAGAACUCAAUCAAACUCUUGAACAAAUGAACUUAACAGAUGUUUACAGAGUGUUCCACCCCACAAAAUCAGGAUAUACUUCUUUUCAGUUGCACAUGGGUCAUUCUCCAAAAUAGACCACAUACUUGUUCAUAGAACUUUUUGAAAUAAGUGCAAAGGAAUUGAAGUUAUCCCCUGUAUAUUAUCAGACCAUACAGCAAUGAAAUUGGAGGUCAAUAGCAAAACAAAAUGCAAGAAUUUCAUAAACACAUGGAAAUUGAACAACACACUUCUUCCUCCCCCCCCCCCCCCAUUAACUUUAUUGGUACAUUUUAGGUAUACAAUACAGUUACAUUCAUCAUUGGGAUCUUGUACCAUUACAUGAGUCUCAUGGUUCUUCUUUUUUUUGCCCUUCCCUUGCCCUCCCUUCAACCCCUCCACCCUUCCCUAUUUGCAAAGACCUUGUUUCCAUUUUUUUCCUCUUCUCAUAUUUUUUCCUUUCCCUUUAUUCCCUUCCCCUACCCCUCCCAAUUCCCCUGCUCUUUUAUACCUUUGCUUCUUGUUACACAAUAUCAGUUAAACAUUUUUUAAAUUACAAUAUUAGGAUCUAGGAGACAUUAUCACAGAUUUUACAGAAUUUAAAAGGAUAUAGAAAGCAUAUUACAAAAAUCUUUUUUGAAAUAAAUUUGACAACUUCUAAGAAGUAACUUAGAAGACAAAUUAAUGAAACUGACUCUGGAGGAAAUGUAAAAUUUGAAUAGCACCUAUUAAAGAAAGAAUAUUCCUAGCUUGAAAACCUACCUAUAUCACAACAGCAGGCUCAUAAACAUUUUAACUGAUAAAUUAUAUCAAACAAUUAAAGCAGAAAAAAGAAGGAACACUUCUCCCCUCAUUUUAGGAACUCAACAUUGUGCUAAUCCUAAAAUUGGAUAAAGAUAAUAGAAGAAAAAAGUAUGAACAUAGAUAGAAAUUUGUUUAACAAAACAAUUAGAAGUCAGAUCUGGCAGAAUGUAGAAAGUGGUUUUGUUAUAGGGAUGGCAGUGUUGGUUCAGCAUUGGAAGAUCCACCCCCAAAAGUCACCAUUUUAACAGAGGAAAGGAAAAAGCCAUAUGAUCCUGUCACUACUUGGAGAAAAAGUAUUGGACUAAAUUCUACAGCUGUUCAUGGUAAAAGCUAUCAGGAGACUAGAAGUAGAACAGAACCCUCUUAACAAAUUAAAGACAUGUACUCCAUACUUCCAGCGAGAACACCUUGUAUGAAUGGAGAAGAUACAAUGCUUUCUCCUUAAGGUGGGGAACAAGGGCAGGUAUGCUUACUCUUUAUCUGUUCAUUAAACUUUGAAACCUAGUCCCCACCAAAGUAGUCUGGCAAUAAAAUGACACAACUAGGAUAGGAUUGGCAAGGUAGAAGCAAAAUCUUUAUAUUUAGAUGACACGAUCAUCUACAGAGAAAAUACUAAGAAAUCUCUAGGAGCCCCUAGAACUUGUACUUGAAUUUAGCAGAUUUAGAAAACACAAGGUAUAUAUAAAAAUUCAGGUCUGUGUAUACUUGCUAUAAAUGAAGAACUAGAUAUUGAAAUUUACAAGUUAUGUAGGAGUACAAAGGACCCAGAAAAGCCAAAAACAAAAACAAAAACAAAAACAAAUACAGUGUUGGAAGACAUUUAGCACCCAAUUUUAAGAUUUCUUCUAAAGCUACAGUAAUCAAGGCAGUGUUGGUGUAAGGAAAGACAUAUAGAUCAUUGGAAAAAACAGAGAAUCUAGAAAUAGAACCACACAUAUAUGGUCCACUGAGUUUUGAAAGAUUAUUUAACAUUAGCAUUUUAUAGAAUAUAAACUCAAUUCAAGAGCAGAGGAAGAGAUAGUGUUUUCAGCAGACGGAACUAGAACACCUGGUAUCUGCAUUUAAAAAAUUAACCUCAACCCUUUUUUUCCAUACAUGAAAAUACCUUGAAGGGAUCUAUGAACCUAAAUAAGAAGGCCUAAAAGUAUAAAACUUUAAGAAGAAAUUAUAAGGGAAAAUGUUUAUGAAUUCAGGGUAGGCAAGAACUACCUAGGAUACAAAAAACAUGAUGUAUAAAAGAAAAAAAUUGAUAAAUGAGAUUCCAUCAAAAUUUAGAACUUUAAAUGACAUCAUUAAAAUGAAAAGUAGUCUUUAAACAGACCAUAUUUACAAUACAUAUAACCUAUGAGCAGAAUAUAUAAAGAAUUCUUAGAGCUCAUCAAUAGACAACCUAAUUAAAAUGUAGACAUAAGCAGAUGAUAAAUAGUCAGUAUAGCACAAGGAAUGGUGUGCAACUCUAGAAUCAGAAAAAUACUAAUCAGUUCAAUAAUAAGAUUGAAUUAUACACUCAUUAGGGAGAUGAAGUCAAAAGUUUUAAAAGCCUUGUCAUGACUUUUUCUUUUUGUUGGAUUCUCCCCCUUUGCAUUUAAUUUGUCACACCCAAUGGAUUCAUUCUGCUGGGUUUCCUGGGGUUGUGAUCCUCAUUGACUUUUCCUUGGGUAUUGUCUAAAAUUUUUUGGAGUGCCAGUUUGGUAUUCAUGAAGUUCAUGAGGUGUUCUUUGUCAUCAAAGUAUCUUAUUUCUCCAUCCAUUUUGAAAGAUAGUUUUGCAGGGUACCUCAAUCUGGGUUGGAGGCUGUUUUCCUUUAGGGCUUGAAAUACAUCACUCCAAGCUCUUCUUGCCUUGAGGGUUUGGAUUGAGAAGUCUGCUGUGAUUCUGAUGGGCUUUCCUUUGUAUGUGAUUUGUUUCUUUUCUCUCACUGCUUGUAGAAUUUUAUUCUUCUGUUGGAUUUCUGGAAUCCUAACUAUUAUAUGCCUAUGUGUACAUUUUUUUUGAUUAAGGCUAGCUGGGAGUCCUAUAUGCCUCACUUAUCUGUAUGUCAAGUUCUUUUGCCCUCCUUGGGAAGUUUUCUGCCAUCACUUCUGUGAAGAGUUUUUUUAUGUCAUCUGCACUCUCUCCUCUUUCUUCAUUGACUCCAAUCAGUCUUAUGUUAUUCUUCUUUGCAUCACCUAGCAGCUGCUGGAUUGAUUUCUUGUGUUCCUUUACAAUUUUAAAGCAAUUUUUCUUUUCCUGGUCACUAAUUGCAAUCUUAUCUUCUAUAUCUGAAAUUCUAUCCUCACAUUGGUUCAUUCUGCUGUGCAGACUUUCGAUGGAGUUUUUAAGCUCUUGUAAAUCUGUUUGUAUCUGUUUUAUGGAUUCCAUUUGUUUCCUAUGUUGGGAUUCCAUCAUUUUUCUCAGAUCCUCUAUUUUUUUAUCUGUGUCCUCUCUAGAUUUAUUAAUCAUGUCUUGUACCAUGAGCAAAAUCUUUGCUGUUAUCUGAGUAAUUAUUUCUGAUUUCAUUUUUCCCAGGUCCUCUUUUGCUGAC
rnacentral:lncRNA from 1 species